GAUGAACGCUGGCGGCGUGCCUAAUACAUGCAAGUCGAACGAAACUUUUUUUAUCACCGAGUGCUUGCACUCACCGAUAAAGAGUUGAGUGGCGAACGGGUGAGUAACACGUGGGCAACCUGCCCAAAAGAGGGGGAUAACACUUGGAAACAGGUGCUAAUACCGCAUAACCAUAGUUACCGCAUGGUAACUAUGUAAAAGGUGGCUAUGCUACCGCUUUUGGAUGGGCCCGCGGUGCAUUAGCUAGUUGGUGGGGUAAAGGCUUACCAAGGCAAUGAUGCGUAGCCGAACUGAGAGGUUGAUCGGCCACAUUGGGACUGAGACACGGCCCAAACUCCUACGGGAGGCAGCAGUAGGGAAUCUUCCACAAUGGGCGAAAGCCUGAUGGAGCAACGCCGCGUGGGUGAAGAAGGUCUUCGGAUCGUAAAACCCUGUUGUUAGAGAAGAAAGUGCGUGAGAGUAACUGUUCACGUUUCGACGGUAUCUAACCAGAAAGCCACGGCUAACUACGUGCCAGCAGCCGCGGUAAUACGUAGGUGGCAAGCGUUAUCCGGAUUUAUUGGGCGUAAAGGGAACGCAGGCGGUCUUUUAAGUCUGAUGUGAAAGCCUUCGGCUUAACCGGAGUAGUGCAUUGGAAACUGGGAGACUUGAGUGCAGAAGAGGAGAGUGGAACUCCAUGUGUAGCGGUGAAAUGCGUAGAUAUAUGGAAGAACACCAGUGGCGA
rnacentral:rRNA from 1 species